CCUACGGGUGGCUGCAGUGGGGAAUAUUGCACAAUGGGCGCAAGCCUGAUGCAGCCAUGCCGCGUGUGUGAAGAAGGCCUUCGGGUUGUAAAGCACUUUCAGCGGGGAGGAAGGCGGUGAGGUUAAUAACCCCAUCGAUUGACGUUACCCGCAGAAGAAGCACCGGCUAACUCCGUGCCAGCAGCCGCGGUAAUACGGAGGGUGCAAGCGUUAAUCGGAAUUACUGGGCGUAAAGCGCACGCAGGCGGUCUGUCAAGUCGGGUGUGAAAUCCCCGGGCUCAACCUGGGAACUGCAUUCGAAACUGGCAGGCUAGAGUCUUGUAGAGGGGGGUAGAAUUCCAGGUGUAGCGGUGAAAUGCGUAGAGAUCUGGAGGAAUACCGGUGGCGAAGGCGGCCCCCUGGACAAAGACUGACGCUCAGGUGCGAAAGCGUGGGGAGCAAACAGGAUUAGAUACCCGAGUAGUC
rnacentral:rRNA from 1 species